UCCAUGUCUGGAGUAGAUAGAUUUAUUUUCAAGAAAUUAUUAUAAUAGAGUAUUUAUCUUCUUCGCUUAUUUAGAACUUUAUUUAAGUGGCGUUUGUAUUUCAGAUACAUUUAAUAAU